ACAGCGAAAGGGCAAACCUGUCGAAAGGCAGGGGCGCAAAGCUACGGGCCUAAGGUAAUAAUUUACUAUGGUAGCCGGGCUGCCGUA
rnacentral:ncRNA from 1 species